rnacentral:lncRNA from 1 species
CCUUGAAACAUAACAUCAAUUGCAUAACUCAUUUGUGUGGCAGCAAAGUAAGGAAACACACCAACAAAACCUGAUGUGAAAUUCUUAUGAAAAGAAAAAGUAAAAGAAAAAAAGCACUCACUUGAAGUGCAUGUUUGCAACUAGAUUCAUCUAGUAUUUAUGAAAUCUUAGUACACACUUUAACAUAAAGAAACAGAUACAAGUGAAAAAUAUGUAACCAAAAUUUAACCAGUGUUCUGCAUGCCAGCAGCAAUACCCUUCAUGGUAAGAAUGAGUGUGUCUUCCAAACCAGGAGCAUAUUCACUUGUUGGAUUCAAUGUUACAAGUUCAUCAGCUGGUUUACUUGUUUCAGCAGACUCUUUCGAGAUUGGGGGGCGCACCUCCACCUUGUAGUUUGGAUCGCGGAUCCGUUUCAAUGUGUAGGCUUGGAAAACAUUAAGGGUUGUAAUGUAGGAAUCACGGAGUCUGAGUCUUUGCUUCAAGUAGGGAUCACCUUCAAGAACUUCCUUGUGUGCAGCCACCUACCGAUACAGAAGAAUACAAAAUCAGUCUAGUUCUUAGAUGAUGAAAGCGCAAUAUCUAACGAAGACUUAGACUCUAUUUGGAUAAACAACUUACUUAAGUGCUUAUAGCAUAAACAGUUAUCAUAUACUAAAUGCUUAUAUAUAAGCUAUUUCUAUAACAAAAGAUAAAAUAAAGUCAAAGUGUUUUCAUAAGUUAUUAUGGAGAACUUACGGAAAUAAGCUGAAAAUAGCUUACAGGCAUGCCAUAAGCUAUUUCCAUAAGAUCUCCCAAACAGUCUAAUGAUUAUGCAAAUAGAUAAGUUCAAAUAAGUGAUCCAAAUAAGCUCUUAACCACUAAAAAUUGGUCCAAAACUAAUAUAGUAAAAGGAUCAUUACCUGAAGUAGGAGUUUCUUAGUUUCUUCAUAUUUGCUUCGCAACUGUUCCCCAAAUGGCCACAGAUCCUUUGAAACUAGGAGCCUAUCAUUCAAUGCGGCAAUACCAGGGUCUCCCUUGGCAAACACCAUUUCAACUAAAUCAAUUGUAACCCUAAAGAAAGGCCAUUGAUUGUACAUCUCUUGCAGCAUAUGGAGAUUCUUAACAUCCUUCUGAACAACUUGUCUAAAUGCUGCUCCAAAGCCCAGCCAUACUGGAAGAUGAAACCUUGUCUGUGUCCAGGCAAAGAUCCAUGGUAUCGCACGCAGUGUUUCAAUGCCUCCACUAGGCCUUCUCUUUGCCGGUCGACUUCCAAUGUUCAUCCUACCAUACUCCAUCUCUGGUGUAGCCUACAUGACACAAAGUUGACAAAAAUUGUUAUAACCUAAAAGGUUAAAUAUGUUUGUAGUCGUUGCAUAAAAUUCAAACUUUUGAGUUUAGACCUGCAUAAAAUGACAUUCAAAUUAGGGUCAAAUCUGUUUUUUUGACCCUAAUUUGAAUGUCACUUUACUUAACAAUGAAGUAAAAUUUAAUGAUUUUUGAUGUCUUACCAGACGGAAAUACUCAACAAAACGUGGUUCCUUGAACACAAUUGAACGGUAUUCCUCAGUAGCAAUGACAGCCAUCUGAUCCAUCAAGGCGCGCCAUUCUGGUUUUGGAGAGCUUGGGGGACGCAUUCCGUGUUCUAGAGUAGCAGCAGUGAAACGUUGCAGUGUCCUAAAGCACAAGUGUUCCUCACCGAACGACUGUUCAAUAACUUCACCUUGAACUGUCACACGAAGAGAUCCGUGAAUUGUUUCCGGUGGUUGAGACAAGAUGGCAAGAUGAGUAGGUCCACCUCCUCUUCCAACAGUUCCACCACGACCAUGGAACAUGGUUAGCUUAACACCGAAUUUCUGCGCAACUUUGAUGAGGUCCUCCUGAGCCUUAUAUAGCUGCCAUGCUGCAGAAAACCUUCCAGCAUCUUUUCCUGAAUCAGAAUAUCCAAUCAUAACUUCUUGCUUCCCAUCGAUCCGGUUUAUGUACCAGUCUAUGGAGAACAACCGAGCCAAUGCAGCAGGAGCAGACUCAAGAUCGUCAAGCUUCUCAAACAACGGAACGACUCUUAAUGGAUUCCUGACUUUGCAUUCACGUUGAAGAAGUUCAACUGCCAGCACAUCAGAAGGUGCAGUUGCCAUCGAAAUGAUGUAAGCUCCAAAGUUGUCAGAUGGAAGUUCUGCUAUGACACGGAACGUGUCUAAAACAUCUCUAAUUUCAUCGGUUUGGGGUAGGUCAGGUCCAAAAAGUGGCCUUUUGCCAAUCAACUCAGACAAAAGCCAUUCCUGUCUUUUUUCUUCAGACCAUUCUUGGUAGGAUCCAAUUUCCAAAUGUUUGGUAAUGGCAUCCAUCACGUCAGUGUGACGAUCAGACUCUUGCCUUAUAUCAAGCCUUACAAGUGACAGUCCGAAAGUGGAAACUUGCCUCAAGAAAUCAAGAAGGCUUCCAUCGGCAAUUGCACGAUCACCACAAGCACAGAGUGAUCUGUAGCAGAGUUCAAGAGGUUCCAGAAACUACACAAAUUAACUCUAGUUAGUAUCUUUCGAACAAAGAUAAAUUCAUUCAAUCAAAAAAUAGCAUUGUCAGUAUAUAACUAAAUGUUUUUAUUCCAUAAAAAGUACUGUAUAUAGUAAAACAAAGAGAUAUAUACCUCAUCAACAUUGGUGAAUGUGGCUUCUUCAGGAAUUUCAGAAUAGCCAUGAGCUAGGAGAUAACGAGAACGCUCACGAGUACGAUAGAGCUUGUCCCUUACUUCACCGAGUACAACACGGUAUGGUUCAUUCAAAGGAAUUUUUUUCCAGAACUCUACAUCAUGGAAGAAAAUCAAGAUUAUCAAAAAAAUGAACUAAUCAACAUAUCAACACAAAUAUACAUAACUAGCAUUUAAGAUUGUCACCCUUUCAACAAAAAAAACAUUUAAGAUUAUCACCUAUAUAGUGUUUUGCAACUUCAUCUUUCUUGGAAUUCCUGUGAAGUUCUUCUGCGCGAACACGUAGCUCAUCAUUGCAACGCCACAUAGAAAGCUAAAGAAACAAGAAAAGAAAUCAGUUAAAUGGUACUAAAAAAAUAAACUAAUCAAAAUGUUAAUUUCAAAAGGAGAAAAGGGGAGAAAUGUGAAUUACUUCAAACAUAAGAUCUUCUAUCUGUGAAUAAUACAAAUUAGCAGCCAUCAUUCUAGCUAACAAGCAAACAUCCCUUGUCACUUCAGGAGUCACUCUUGGAUUACCUGCAUCAUAUAUUAUCUCAUUUUUUAAAUCACAUUGGAUAUGCGUACGUAUAUACAGGCAUACAUAUAUGGAUAUAACAGAUAAAAAUCAUACCGUCACGAUCACCACCCAUCCAAGAUGAAAAUUGGAUAAGAGGAGCAUUAUAUGGAACACGUUCGUUAAUCCCUAUGUUCUUCAAUGCUGUAUCAACACGGCGAAGAAAUUUAGGGACACCCUUCCAAAUUGUUUCAUGGAAGUAACUCAUGCCAGCCCUCAUCUCAUCUUGUGGAGUUGGUGGAGUCCUCUUGAUUUCAUCAGUACGGAAUGCAGCUUGAAUCUACAAAAUAACAAAAAGUAACACAAGAAAAUCAUUUCAAUUUGGCGAAAAAUCUUAAUAUGUAACAUCAUUUCAAUUCGGUGAAAAAUCAAACAAAAUCAAAAAAGGAUUUGAUGCUCACCUCCCUCUGGAGAGCUUCAUCAAGCUCCUGCUUAUCAUCAGGAGUGAUGUCUUUAGCGUACAAUUGAGAUAAACAGUUCCUUACCCUGUGAAAAGAACAAAAAAAGUUCAAUUUUCUUAUACAUUCUGUUCAAAACUUCAUUUUAAAAGAAAAAUACUACAUUAUGAAACAAACCUUCCGUGCUUUUGAAGCAAAGAUCGACGAACCGACUGAGUAGGAUGAGCAGUAAGAACAAGAUCAACGGUCUGGUUCUUCAAUGCAUCAAAAACUUCCUGAGGAGAUUUCUUCAUGUCAAACACGAGUUUCUUGAGAGUUUCCUCAAUGUCGGAUUCAGUGGUUGCAUUACUCUCAUCCCUAAAAUCUCCCUUCUUCAACUUGUUCCUUCGGCGGUGCGCAAUCUGAACCUCUUCAGCUAAGUUGGCCAAGUUAAGCAUGUGUGAAAAGGACUUGGCAACAACAAUUGAGUCACCUGCAUCGAAACUUGUGAUCAAAUUUCCAAGCUCUUCAAGUUUCUUAGGAUCAUGCUUUCUUUCAUAUUCAGCAGAAAGUUCAUACACUUCUUGAACCUGCACAACAGCAUUUUAGCCUUUCAAUCAUACUGUGAAGAAAAAAAGUUCCGUCUCAUUAUGUCAAAGAGCAUCAAACCCAGUGUUGCAAAUUGCGAAUAACGGAAAAUAAUUGUUGGUUCAAAUUUUACAGAACUAGUGCCGCUAUUGCUGGCAUUUGACAACACUUUGUACUGAAUCGUGUAUCACAGGACAAUAACAAUUUGUCGAACUUAUAGCCGCUAUUCGGCAACACAGAUCAAAGCAAAUUAUAAAAAUAUCUGAACAGAAAAUCGGAUUAUUUCACUAAAUCUACAGUCACAAAGGCCUAAUAGUUCAUGUUUCAUAUCUUUACCGAUAACCUAAUUAAACGUAUAUUCGAAAUAUUUAAAAUUUAAAUAAAAAUAAAAUACUAAACACUGGAUCAAUGAGAAUUUCCCCUCUAUAAAGGUCUUUUUUCCUGUUACAAGUCAAACAUAUAAAAAGAAAUGUUUCCUUAAAACAUUACAAAUCUAUAGAAUUGACCUAAUAUCCAAAAUCUGUCAAAAAAAAUCAAAUUUCCAAUCUUUUUUCUCACCAACCAACCAUAUUGACUUUUAGAACCAAACAGUGAAUAAUCAAAAUCAAAUCUCAGAAUUUUUUUCCAAAUAAUUCAAAUUAAAGAACCAAAAAAGAAGAAGAAAACUCACAGAAUCCUUCAGAUCCUCUCCAUGUAAAUCCUGAAGAAUAUCAAGAAACCGAUCCAACAACAAAGCAUCAUACUCAAUAAGUUUAUCAUCUUCACUCACUUUUGCAGGAACCAAUUGCCUAAGCUGUGCAUCAAUUGAUGCCAUUUUUUCCAUCUUGUUUGCCAUUGUAGCAAUUCACUCUCUCUCACCUAUAAAAACACAAAAUUCAAUAACCCUUCAUGAAAACAUAACACAAAAAACUCAUCAAAAAAGUUAAUUUAAACAAUGGAAAACCAUGAACACAAAACAAAAUCAAGGGGCGAAUCAAAACAACAACAUCCUUAAAUUAUAAUCAAAUCCCGAAAAUUAUGAAAGAGAUUUGACAUGUUGAAUAUCAUCAAUGGAUGACACGUGUACAUAAACAUACUAGUACUAGUGUUACAUGUACAACAUAUAUAUUUUCAUAAAAAAACAAAUAAGAAAAAAAGUACAAUAACAUAGGAUUUUUAUUAUCCUAGGAAAACAUGUUAUGUUAUGAAACAUGUAUGUAACAAAAAAAAAAACAUGGGAUUUGUUGCAUGACAUAUGAUGAAUGAUAAAAAAGUUAUUAGUACCGUGUUGUGUGCCAGACAGUUAGAUACGAAGAAGAAGAUGAUGACAAGGAAUG